rnacentral:rRNA from 1 species
UUGACUCACGCGGGAAUCUUACCGGGUCCGGACACACUGAGGAUUGACAGGUUCCGAGAGUUUUUGCUUCGGCAAUGCUCUCUUAAAUAUGAUAGUCCUUUCAUGAUUAUGUGAUAGGUGGUGCAUGGCCGUUCUUAGUUCGUGGAGUGAUCUGUCUGCUUAAUUGCGUUUCACUAAAGGCGUCAUAUCUGUUUUGUUGCGUGUUUGACCCCUCUUCGGAGCGCGUGUCUUCACGCACAAUUACUUUGGCGUCUGAAAGCAACGAACGUGACCGUAACCUCUUGUUGCCUUCUCUUCUCCUCGGAGAAUGCUGUUUGUUUUUGCAGGCAGUAUAUGGAGGCUUUUUUACUCAACAACUAGAGGGACCGCUGUUUCUUUCUUUAAACCAGAGGAAGGAUACGGCAAUAACAGGUCUGUGAUGCCCUUAGAUGUUCCGGGCUGCACACGUGAUACAUUGAUUACUUCAGUGAGUAUCUACGUUUUACUGCGUGGCAUUGCAAUGCAUAUUUCUUCGGAAGUGUGUUUUUGUUUGCCGCCUCAACCUGCUUCGAAAGCAUGCGGGUAACCAAUUAGAAGUAGUGAUUUCCUUUUUUAUAAGCACACUAAUAUGGGGCAUCAUCACCCGGCAUGCCUUGUUGUAUGUUUUGUGUGUGGUGUUUGCUUUUCCAUGUGCUUUUGUCAAUUCAUAGUGGGGAUAGACCAUUGUUAAUUGUUGGUCUCGGUCUUAACUAGGAAUGCCUUGUACGAGUUUUUGG